ACGGGGUGCAGCAGGCGCGAAAACUUCACACUGGGGGGAACCCCGAUGAGGGAAAUCCUAGUGCUAGGACAUUUGUUCUAGCUUUUCUCAAGCGUAGAUAACUUGAGGAAUAAGGGCUGGGUAAGACGGGUGCCAGCCGCCGCGGUAAUACCCGCAGCCCGAGUGGUGGUCGAUUUUAUUGAGUCUAAAACGUUCGUAGCCGGUCUGAUAAAUCCCUGGGUAAAUCGGGUGGCUUAACCAUCCGAAUUCCGGGGAGACUGUCAGGCUUGGGAUCGGGAGAGGUAUGAGGUACUUCAGGGGUAGGGGUAAAAUCCUGUAAUCCUUGGAGGACCACCGGUGGCGAAGGCGUCAUACUAGAACGGAUCCGACGGUGAGGGACGAAGCCCUGGGUCGCAAACGGGAUUAGAUACCCCGGUAGUCCAGGGUGUAAACGUUGCAGACUUGGUGUUGGAGGCCCUUCGGGGGCAUUCAGUGCCGGAGAGAAGUUGUUAAGUCUGCUACUUGGGGAGUACGUCCGCAAGGGUGAAACUUAAAGGAAUUGGCGGGGGAGCAC
rnacentral:rRNA from 1 species